AUGAACGCUGGCGGCGUGCCUAAUCCAUGCAAGUCGAGCGAACAGACGAGGAGCUUGCUCCUCUGACGUUAGCGGCGGACGGGUGAGUAACACGUGGAUAACCUACCUAUAAGACUGGGAUAACUUCGGGAAACCGGAGCUAAUACCGGAUAAUAUAUUGAACCGCAUGGUUCAAUAGUGAAAGACGGUUUUGCUGUCACUUAUAGAUGGAUCCGCGCCGCAUUAGCUAGUUGGUAAGGUAACGGCUUACCAAGGCAACGAUGCGUAGCCGACCUGAGAGGGUGAUCGGCCACACUGGAACUGAGACACGGUCCAGACUCCUACGGGAGGCAGCAGUAGGGAAUCUUCCGCAAUGGGCGAAAGCCUGACGGAGCAACGCCGCGUGAGUGAUGAAGGUCUUCGGAUCGUAAAACUCUGUUAUUAGGGAAGAACAAAUGUGUAAGUAACUAUGCACGUCUUGACGGUACCUAAUCAGAAAGCCACGGCUAACUACGCG
rnacentral:rRNA from 1 species